rnacentral:rRNA from 1 species
UAUAAAGUGGCGAACGGCUGAGUAACACGUGGGCAACCUGCCCUUUGCACUGGGAUAGCCUCGGGAAACCGAGGUUAAUACCGGAUACUCCAUAUUUGUCGCAUGGCGAAUAUGGGAAAGCUCCGGCGGCAAAGGAUGGGCCCGCGGCCUGUUAGCUAGUUGGUGGGGUAGUGGCCUACCAAGGCAAUGAUGGGUAGCCGGGUUGAGAGACCGACCGGCCAGAUUGGGACUGAGACACGGCCCAGACUCCUACGGGAGGCAGCAGAG